UGACCUCUCUAGAGAUAGAGAUUUCCUUCGGGACAGAGGUGACAGGUGGUGCAUGGUUGUCGUCAGCUCGUGUCGUGAGAUGUUGGGUUAAGUCCCGCAACGAGCGCAACCCUAUUGUUAGUUGCCAUCAUUCAGUUGGGCACUCUAGCGAGACUGCCGGUAAUAAACCGGAGGAAGGUGGGGAUGACGUCAAAUCAUCAUGCCCCUUAUGACCUGGGCUACACACGUGCUACAAUGGCUGGUACAACGAGUCGCAAGCCGGUGACGGCAAGCUAAUCUCUUAAAGCCAGUCUCAGUUCGGAUUGUAGGCUGCAACUCGCCUACAUGAAGUCGGAAUCGCUAGUAAUCGCGGAUCAGCACGCCGCGGUGAAUACGUUCCCGGGCCUUGUACACACCGCCCGUCACACCACGAGAGUUUGUAACACCCGAAGUCGGUGAGGUAACCUUUUAGGAGCCAGCCGCCUAAGGUGGGAUAGAUGAUUGGGGUGAAGUCGUAACAAGGUAGGCGUAGCGAG
rnacentral:rRNA from 1 species